rnacentral:snRNA from 1 species
GUGCUCGCUUCGGCAGCACAUAUACUAAAAUUGGAAGGAUACAGAGAAGAUUACCAUGGCCCCUGCGCAAGGAUGACACACAAAUUCGUGAAGCGUUCCACAUUUUU